rnacentral:rRNA from 1 species
UACGUAGGGUGCAAGCGUUGUCCGGAUUUAUUGGGCGUAAAGAGCGUGUAGGCGGCCAUGCAGGUCAGCUGUGAAAACUCGAGGCUCAACCUCGAGACGUCGGUUGAAACCGUAUGGCUAGAGUCCGGAAGAGGAGAGUGGAAUUCCCGGUGUAGCGGUGAAAUGCGCAGAUAUCGGGAAGAACACCUAUGGCGAAGGCAGCUCUCUGGGACGGUACUGACGCUGAGACGCGAAAGCGUGGGGAGCGAACAGG